rnacentral:rRNA from 1 species
UACGGUAGGUGGCAAGCGUUGUCCGGAAUUAGCUAGGGGUGUAAGCGCGUGGUAGGGCGGGGAGGCCAAGUCUGCGUGUGAAAUCGCCCGGCUCAACUGGGCGGGGUCGGUGGAAACUGGUCACCUGGAGGACGGUAGAGGCGAGUGGAAUUCCCGGUGUAGUGGUGAAAUGCGUAGAGAUCGGGAGGAACACCAGUGGCGGAAGGCGGCUCGCU